AUGGCCACCGCCGCCGCGGCGGCCGCCGCCGCCACCGCCACCGCCUCCACCCGGGCGAACAGCCUCUCCCGCAUAUUCUCCUCCUCCUCGCCGAUCGUAAAACCACCCAAGCACAAUCCCAAGACCAAGAGCGCGCCGAAGCCGAAGCCGCCCGCCGCCGACGCUGGCUCCAUAGCGGAGAAGAAGUCCCCGAAGCCCCUCGGCGGACCGCAUGCCGCCAAAGCUGAGUCCGACGGGAAGCACAAGCUCCCGAAGCCCCUUGGGCUUCUCGUCAAGGCCCUCAGCCGGCAGCGCGACCCUGACAAGCUGAUCUCCGGGUUCAUCCAAGCGUCAACCGUGUCGUCGCGCUUCCGCGACCGGUACCGCGUGUUCGAGGUAGCGGUGAGCCGCCUCGCUUCCCUCGGCCGCCAAGACGGCAUCGAGGCCAUCAUCGAAGCGCAGUUGCCCUUCCUCGAGACCUCAGCCGAGGGAUUCGCCACGCGCCUCAUCCGCCUCUACGGCCGUGCCUCCAUGCCAUCCCACGCCGCCGCAACCUUCCACAAGCUUCCCGCGCAGCAUAAAUCCAACAUGACAUUCAACUCCCUUCUUUCCUGUUACGCCGACGCCGGAGAUUUUGACGGGCUCACUGCUGCAUUCCAGGAGAUCCCAGCCACUUACCCCUCGAUUGCUCCCACUGUAUACUCUUACAAUGUACUCAUCCACGCAUUGUGCCAGAAGCCAGACAUCUCGGCUGCUCUUGAGACUGUCCUUCUCAUGGAGAAGCACGGUGUUUCACCUGACAUCAUUACUUUCAACACGCUGUUGAAUGGGUUUUGCAACAAUGGCCGCUUCGAUGAAGCAGAGACAGUAUGGGAGAUGAUCAAGGAGAGGAAUUUGGAGCCAGACGCCAAGUGCUACAAUGCCAAGCUCCGGGGUUUGGUUGCAGAAGGGAGGAUUGAUGAUGCAGCUGCUGUGCUUGAGGGAUUGGAGAAGGAUGGGCCAAAACCUAAUACGGUAUCCUACAAUGAGUUGAUUCGAGGAUAUUGCAAAGCGGGGAAGUUACAGGAGGCCAAGAAGCUGUAUGAUGAUUUGGUAAAAAAUGAGUGUGCCCCAAAUAAGGGAACAUAUGAGACUCUCCUGCCACACCUUCUGCAGGCUGGAGAGCUGGAUUGUGCACUGACGUACUGUUAUAAAAUCUUUAGUCAUAAAAGGAACCUUAGAGUAGAGUGUGGUGUGCUGCAGGAUGUAGUGAAUGCAUUGGUGGAUGAAUCGAGGGUGGAGGAGGCUGCCAAGAUUGUUGUGCUGGGGCGGAAGAAGUACUACCCCCGAAAGGGUUUGAGGAUGCCUGAUGGUACAAAAGUCAGUCAAUUAAGAGCUGAAACUGAUGACGAAGAAGCAAUAUCAGAAGAAGAGUGUGAAGUGGAACACGAGACUGAAAAAUAA
rnacentral:rRNA from 1 species